UUUUCCCUGCGCUGUUGGUGAUUUGCGGUGUGUGUUGAGCCAACUCUCGUUAAGAGGGCACUACCGCUGACAGAAGAGGGAGAAUCGCUUGCGGAUCUCCCGAGGUUGUCAUGAAGCCUGCCCACCUAAUUUAUUAGGUUUAACUGUCCCGCGGACACGGCAGUGUGGGGAAAUC
rnacentral:other from 1 species